rnacentral:rRNA from 1 species
GAUGAACGCUGGCGGCGUGCCUAAUACAUGCAAGUAGAACGAUGAGGGGGGAGGUUGCUUCCCCGGAUGAGUGCCGAACGGGUGAGUAUAGCGUAGGGAACAUGCCUGGUAGCGGGGGAGAACAAUUGGAAACGAUAGCGAAUACAGCAUAAUAGAAGAUGAUGCAUAAGAUUUGAUAAAAAGAUACAAUUUUGUCACUACUAGAUGGACCUGCGCCGUAUUAGCUAGUUGUUGAGGUAACGGCUUACUAAGGCAACGACGCGUAGCCGACUUGAGAGGGUGAUGGGCCACCUUGGAACUGAGACCCGGCCCAGACCCCUACGGGAGGCAGCAGUAGGGAACUUUCGGCAUAGGGCGAAAUCUUGACGGAGAAACGCCGCGUGGGGGAGGAAGGUUUCCGGACCGUAAAACUCUGUUAUUAGGGAAGACCAGUUGUGGAAUUAACUAUGCACGCCGUGACGGUACCUAACCAGAAAGCGACGGCUAACUACGUG